ACUCCUGGUGCGCCUGGCGUCGCGUUCCGCAUCUGGUGGCGGACCGGCGUGCUGGGACAGAUCUUGUUAAGGGAGGACUCUCGGGACCGAAAGAAGCGGAAGGACGUCUUCAGAGAAAACGAUUGUCAUUUGACUUCCUACAAGAAGAGUCAAGAAAAACGAAGAUCCCGAAGCGGGCCACGAUUGGUCGCGCUUUCUGUGACGUCCAGGGCAGAAGCCAAAGGGAUUCCUUAGGGCAGUCUCGCGGGAAAGGGGGGGGGGGCAGCUAGAUGUCCUUUACCUCUGUAUAUGGCACUUGUCGCUUCUGAAAUUGUUUCUGUUUCCUGAUCCUCCUUCAAGAUGAUGAUCUUAGGUGAGAAAACAGGCAUUGGGUAAUUUGCUGAAGACCAGAGAUUGAGGAAGUAGCAAGCCAGGCACUUAAGUACAUUUUCUCUGCUCUUAUAACUACUAUGAAGUACCAGUUUUGAACGUAUUCUUGUAGGUUUCCGCGAUGAUAUAAUCCUUGGCAAUUCACUAAGAACUCUCUUCUACUUCUCUUUCAUCUUUUGUAGGAGAGAUACACAUCCCAAAACAUUAGGCACAUUUAAAACUUGCAGGCUGGUCUAAGUGUUUUGCGAACAGCAACUCUGAGAUGCAUCCUCUUACUGGAAGUCAUUGCACUAAAACAUGUGAGCAACUCCGAGGACGCUAAAAGAUAAACCUUGAAGAAGCAUUGGAAAAUAAGUGAGAUGCUAAAUCAAAAAGAUCAUGUAAGGCUUAGAGACCAAUCACCUAAUCUAAAGCCUCAAGCUCUUUAUCAGCAAAAAUGUUUUGUGAAAGGGCAAGGAAGCCACAGACAUUCCUCAAUCCUCAAGCUAAGCAGUCGCCUUGAUUGGAAGGACCAGGCCUGUCAGCACCGGAACAAUGCAACUGAAAACCAAACACUAGAGUGGACAAAGAACAUCUCAGAACCCUGUGGGGACCAGUGAUGCUAGGACCUGACAUCUCCGGCUUCCUAUCUUGGCACUUUAGAAAUUCCCGGACCUGAUUAACACAGGCCUGGGAAAGAGGGAGGGCCUUUGUUGAUAAAAUUAUUGUCACUGAGGCUGAGUGGGGGCUUGAAAAAGAAAUAAAACUCAGUUACGGAAAAAAAUUCUAUUUGUUACACAUUUGAGUUUGUAGACUAAAGUUCAUUCCUGCUACUCUGUUAUCUGUGAGUAUUCUAUAGUAACCAACAGUAUUUAUGUUUAGUAUUUAUAAGAAUUUUCUCUUUACUCAAAAAUCAUGAGGUUUUAUUCUUUAACAUUUUUAUUUGGUGCCUAUACUUGAGAAAAACAAACUGAGGGAUACCAAUAAAACUUCCAUGCCUGGCACUGCCUCACUAGGUUAUGAGUUCCUGUAGAACAGGGUGCACACAUUUACUCUGAGUCUCCCAUCUGGUUAGUAGCACACACAAUGCUUGUAUUUAGUAGGUACUCGGUAAAUGUUCAAUGAAUGAGUCAUGAAUAAAAUAUGUACUGACGAC